AGUGAACGCUGGCGGCAGGCCUAACACAUGCAAGUCGAGCGGCAGCGCGUCCGACCACCCUCGGGUGGUCGGAUGGCGACGAGCGGCGGACGGGUGAGGAAUGCAUCGGAAUCUGCCUCGUUGUGGGGGAUAACGUAGGGAAACUUACGCUAAUACCGCAUACGACCUACGGGUGAAAGUGGGGGACCUUCGGGCCUCACGCGAUGAGAUGAGCCGAUGCCGGAUUAGCUAGUUGGCGGGGUAAAGGCCCACCAAGGCGACGAUCCGUAGCUGGUCUGAGAGGAUGAUCAGCCACACUGGAACUGAGACACGGUCCAGACUCCUACGGGAGGCAGCAGUGGGGAAUAUUGCGCAAUGGGCGAAAGCCUGACGCAGCAACGCCGUGUGAGGGAUGAAAGGGCUUUCGGGUCGGUAAACCUCUGUCAGAA
rnacentral:rRNA from 1 species